UAAUUUAGAAAUGUAUAAAAUAGAAGAUAAAAGUUGCCCAGGAGUCCCUACGUUCCCAAAGGCAACUAUUGUGAGCCACAUCUUGAUAUGUUUAUAACAAUUUUUCUAUUUAAGUAUAAUGGGUCCGAGUUAAGUUCCUGUAACAAAGGCUAAAAUAACAGGGCUUUAAACAAAAUUGAUGCUUAUCUCUCAGUCACGUAACAGUCCAGAGGCAGCCCAGAGCUAAUAUUGUGGUUCCCCAGUGCUGGGGACCCAGGCUACUUUGCUACCAUUGUGCUGGCAUUCUCAACACAUAGUUUUCAUCUCAUGGUCUAAGAUGGCUGCUCUGUCUGUCAGUCUUUAGAGAUGGGGUCUUGCUCUGUCACCCAGGCUAGAAUACAGCGGCACAAUCAUAACUCACUGCAGCCUCAAACUCCUAGGCUCAAACCAUCAUCAUUGCACAAACAGCAAAGCAAUGCAUUCAAAGAUCUAAAUGGAAAGCAUUUCCAGGGAGGCUCUCUUCUUAGCCAAACUAACAAUCAAAUAGGAGGGUAAAAUAAAACCGUCUUCACCAAAACCAGCCUCCUGGGUAGCUGGGACUACAGGUAUGUGCCACCACCCCUGGCUAAUUUUUAUUUUGUAAAGAUGGGGUCUCUCUUUGUUGCCCAGGAUGGUCCCGAACUCCUGGGCUCAAGUGAUCCUCCUGCCUCAGUCUCCCAAAGUGCUGGGAUUACAGGCGUGAGCCACUGUGCCCAGCUGCUGCUCCCAAUCCUGUCACAAUAUCCACUGCACCUGGCCAGAUACACAUAUAUAUUUUAAAAUCUUUUAUUUCCAGAAACAAUCUAUACAUAUUUAGUGUCUCUGACUAAUGGAGAGUCAAAGAUCACCAGAGGUUUGAGGAAAGCCUGCAGAGGAAGAUCAAAAUGAACAAACAAAUAAAAAUGAAUUCAGACAAAACAAAAGGUGACAAUGUAAAAAGUAGAAAAAAAGUAAAAACAGAAGUAACCUAAAAUUAAUAUCACAUCCAUGAAAUGAGUACAGAAUGCUAUUCAAAAAAGAAAUUUUAGGGAAACACAGAGAGUUCUUAUUAAUCCUUUUUUUUUUUUUUUUUUGAGACAGGGUCUUGCUCUGUCACCCAGGCUGGAGUGCAGUGACAGAAUUACAGCUCACUGCAACCUCAACCUCCCAGACUCAAGGGAUCCUCCCACCUCAGACUCCUGAGUUGCUGUGACUACAGUCACAUACCACCAUGGCAGACUAACUUUUUUUUUUUUCCAUAGAGAUGAAGUCUCACUACCUUGCUCAGCCUUAAUCUUUUCAAUUGAAAGAUAAUGGUAGAGGCUGGGCACGGUGGCUUGCUCUUGUAAUCC
rnacentral:lncRNA from 10 species